GUAUCUGAAACAUAAAGUAAUAGGCCAUGUUUUGAUUGAAUGAGGGCGCUUUAAUUAGCAUUUAUUUGGAGUUAUGGCCGACACAGGAGGGCGCGACUUUACCCAAACCAAAUAGCGCCCUCGUAUUGUGUCAGUCAUACCCAUUGAUCUCCAUAUGGAGAUCAAUGGUCAUACCUCGAAAUAUGGCGUUAUUUUGGAGGACACAAGCUAACAGACGUGAAUCUAAGGUUGUCGAAGUAGGCCUUCGCUUACAUGUCCUGUCGAUCCACAACACUGUAGCGACUCCUGCAGUCCGUCCAUUAUAAACUGCGUGUCGGGAUCAUCUGCAAAACAAUCAGACAAGAUUUGAGACCAAAAGG